ACGAACGCUGGCGGCGUGCCUAAUACAUGCAAGUCGAGCGGAAUGAUGAAGAAGCUUGCUUCUUCUGAUUUUAGCGGCGGACGGGUGAGUAACACGUGGGCAACCUACCUUGUAGAUUGGGAUAACUCCGGGAAACCGGGGCUAAUACCGAAUAAUCCAUUUUGCUUCAUGGCGAGAUGUUGAAAGACGGUUUCGGCUGUCACUAUAAGAUGGGCCCGCGGCGCAUUAGCUAGUUGGUAGGGUAAUGGCCUACCAAGGCGACGAUGCGUAGCCGACCUGAGAGGGUGAUCGGCCACACUGGGACUGAGACACGGCCCAGACUCCUACGGGAGGCAGCAGUAGGGAAUCUUCCACAAUGGACGAAAGUCUGAUGGAGCAACGCCGCGUGAGUGAGAAGGUUUUCGGAUCGUAAAACUCUGUUGUAAGGGAAGAACACGUACGAGAGUAACUGCUCGUACCUUGACGGUACCUUAUUAGAAAGCCACGGCUAACUACGUG
rnacentral:rRNA from 1 species